UAUAUUUUGGUAAUCUCUGUCUAAACAGAAUAAUGUUAGUGACUAAUACAGUCAUCUGUUACACAGCAUCAACAAUUUCCCAGCAACUUCCCACUCACCCUUUGGCCGGUUUCAGGCAAAUCUGAUGGUGGCCUGACAUUCUUAAAAGACAGCAAGUUUCCCCAGGUGUGAAAACACAGUGGGGUUAUCAGCUUAUUUGGACUUCCUGUAAUGAUAUCAUACCCACUUUCCCCAGACAAAUAACCAAAGGACUGAGCACUUCCGAAGGCACAGCUGCCAGCAUUGUGCAAGCAGAAGAGUUAAUCGGAUGCCAGUCUCCUGUGGUUGUAGAUUAUGUCUGGACUCCCUGAUGUCAAAUUUAAGUGAACUUGCACCAUAACUCUUUCUUCGUUAUAAAAUCUCCCUUCUUAUUGUCUGGUUUUAUGCCAUUUGGAGAAUGUGCUUUGGCUGGAAUCCUACUGUCAGAUCUUCGAGUUGUUCAGUGGGAAUGAAUUGAUUUGGAGAAGCAAUAAUGUCAAAGACAGACAGAGUGCUAUACAGGAGGCAGAGCAAUCAAAUAAGUCUGCAUUAAUUGCUACUGGAUUGCAGUUUUAUUGCCUUGCAGUGGAGCAGAGGAAGUAGAGGAUGGAGUGGAGCAGAGGAAGUGAUGCAGGGGAAUUCUUUAGUGCUCUCAAUGCCUGCUUUGAACAACUUUCGCACCAAAAUAUAUAUCAGUGUUUGUGAGCUGGUUAACUAUAGCAAGGGCUAAGUAGUUCUUGCUGUAAACCUGUGUGGGUCACAGUUGUGGACCGCAGGAGAGACUGUUCCAGCUAUGCAGGCAGUACUGUGCAUUCUGCCUUGCUGUUUCUGGGAAGCUGAGGAGCUCUUAUCGGCAGGAGAGCAGGGGCCUUAAGACUUUGGUGCUGUGGAGAGGUGGGGAUGUCAGCGUUGGAGGAGUCUGCUGGCAUGCCUGUGUAUCUCUUUCCAGGAUUGAAGAGGCCAAAGGUCACUCCACAGAAUUUCUUCAUCCCACAGAAUCCAUUUCUUCACGAGGAAUGCUCUUUAAGGAUCCUGGCUGCACAAUAACUUCAGGGAGGUCUGAAGGUGGUUUCUGGGCUGUGAUUCUCAGGUAUGUAGUAGCGAAGGCUUUGUGACUACCAUUUAUAUUCUGGGAGUUGGAAGAAACUGGGGUGUAAUUGCAUGGAAUUGGGAGUUCAUGUAAGUCAUGACUGGUUCGUGGUUCAGAACAAAACCCAGGCAUUUUACUGCUUUGUUUGCUGUGCAAAUGUACUUCCCUACCCUAUGGUUGCACUCCAAGGUGCCAGCACUGGUAGAAUCCUCAUCCAUGCAAAGCAGGGAAUUUUUUGCCUUUUGGCAGGAUAAGGGAGAUUUCUCUUCCACAGGCCUUUGAGUAUCUUGUGUAAAUCAAUAAGAUGUCAAGUUUUCUGUUAAAACAUUGAUUCUAAAUAGGUUUUAUUUUUGCUUAUGUUUCGUUUGAGUGGUUAAGAUUUCCGGAGAACCUACUGGAAUAACUCCCACUGAAUUCAGUGUGUACAAGAUCAGACUUGCUGGGCUGUUUGUUCCAGGGCAUAGAAUACUUCUGCUGCUUCUGAGAUUUGCUGGGACUGUUCUGAUUCUGCGGGAGUUUGAAUGAAAAAAAAAAUAGCACAGAUGAAUUGCUGCAUUAAUUUAAAAGAAAAAAGUCAUGACGUCAAUAUGCAACCAAAAAUUUAUUCUUACAGGAAUCUAGUGCUUGAUUGCUCUGCCCAUACCUCAGCUGAUGACAUCAAUGGCUCUGCAGACAUAUCCUGUCUCUUCUUUCAUCUCCUUGGUGCUAGCCUGGUUGCUUCUACAAAGUACAAACUUCUUAAGACUGCUUUACAGAGAAGGCAGGAAACAAGAGAGUAAUAACACUGGAAAUGGCCUAUUGUUUCUUCUCUGGCAAACUCCCUCGGGACAGCAGUUCUGGGAAUCAGCUCUCUAUGUGAAGUUGUUGUGAGAUGUAUUGGUGGCAUAUGCCAUGGUGAAUUUGCCAGGCACAGAGGGAGUCUGCUGGGGAAAAGAGCAAAGAAGCACACUAAGCUGUCUCCAGAAGCAAACCUUCAGAAAUGCUCUGCAAAGGUGCCUGAAACUUAAAAUUUUUCCUUUGGUAAAGAUGAAAGGCAGGACUUCUGACCCUUACUUCUGACUAGGAUGGAAACUUGGGCUUCUGUACUUCAUAGAAGUGCAUUUUAUGAUAGACAAGAGAAAAUGAAGAUCCUUGAGGGAAGGCUAAGAAAAUUCCUCUUCCUUCCAAAACUGCCUUGCAGGAUCAGUGGAAAAUUUCUGUUCAGAACAAGAUCCUUGGCAAGGAUACACCACCGCCAGGUGAGAAGCAGAUGCCCUCAAGGUCAGGCAAAGCAUUUCGACAUUCUUCUUCCUGUUUGCUCCAGGUAUAUCUCAACAAAUAAAACUGAGAACCAUCUUGCCUGUCAUCCUGAACUGCACAUGCUGGUGAUUUCCAAGCAAGAAGAUGCAUACAUAACAGACUCCCCAUUCCCAUGGAUCAGAUACCAUUAUGCUGCCUCUUGCAAUAUCUGCAGUCUGCUGCCACAUCUCAGAGCUGCCAGGAUCUGACCUGGACCUGCUGCUCUCUCCAGAUUAUCUGCUUGUCUCUAACUCCACCAGGCAUGAAUGCAUGUAGGAGUGCUGUUUGGAAACAAUCGAAAAGUAAGAAUAAGAAUGAUCUUUCUACUCCGGAAGCUGUGUGUUGACAAGACAAGAAAGAGGAAGGACCUACCUUAAGUAAACAAAAUGCAUCUGCAAAGCAAAGGUGAAAACCUGCCUAUCUCAAUCUUUUUGUGAGACUUGGUUGUCACUUGGGGAGAAGUUCACAAACUGAAUGUACCAGAAUAUGAACAGCUGCUAUGUGGUAAGUUUAUCCUGGCUAAGUGACCAAACAUCUUUAGCCAUCGGUCGAUUGGAGCACUACAGAGGACAAGAGUGGCUAUUCUAGGCCCAGGCAGCGGCCAA